UGCAAAUGCCAUGUUCAGACUUCUAUUGGUGAAUACGAGCGCCUUAAUUUUCACCACCAUGGAUAGCAACAUUUAAAUAACACCGGUUGGAAUUGUGCUGUCCACUCCAGCCUCCAGGAUUUUGCUUUUUCCACUUGGUCCUGCGGUUAUAAAACCAGAUUUUUACUUGGGUUUCCGUCAGGCUGAGAGACAGUGCGAGAAGAUUGAGCCUCUCACAGACGGACAGAUAGCGCGUGGUUUGAAACUUGUUUUCCAGAGCUACCAGCUGUUCGUGCGCGACUCGGUUUUGCACAGCCAUGUGCGGCGGCGUUUGAGUCGUCUUGUGUCAUUUGCGGCCAAGUGCUUUGUUUUAAAAGCGUUCAUCUUAACUUUAUGACUCAAAGUGAUCAAAUUCUAGUGUUGACUAUUGUGAGAGCAAAUGCAGGUAAAACUAACUCGACACCAGUUUAACCGUAGCAUUAUUUUACCUUUGGCCUUAGAAGUAAGCUAACACGUCUGUGGCACUAUCGAAGUCGAUUUAGUCUACACCUGGCUGAGUCGGUCAAUCUGGAGCCUAAAGUGAAAUCUUUUACCGACGGUCGCAGUUUAGCUUUUGUAGCUGAUCAGCAACAUUUGUGGAAAAGGACAAUCUAGUCUUGACUCGGGAGCGCCCAUUGGAUUACACUUUGGCCUAAUCCUGUUUGUGUCAUUUAUGUGGUUUUCAUUUGUAUAAAGGUUAACGAGAUGGUGCAUACCAUGGAUAUGCUCCUGGGCGAGUUCCACGAUUACCAGACUUCGUGGGAUUUCCCCUGAUGGAUGACGAGCUAUCCAGUCUUAAGGAUGAAUAUCUACUGAACACUCCGUUGCCAUGGCCCUGGCAUGCGUAAUGAGGCGAGUAACUUGCCAUGAGGGUGUCUGCCACUCACCAAACUGGAGCACGUUUUGAAUACAAGGAUUGUUGGUGCAUAGGAUGUUCCUCUGGCUGUCUUGGCAUGUGCAGUAUAGCAGGCCUCAAGGUAUGGGACCUUUGAUGAUUUCCCUUCCGAGGCUGUGGGUUCAUUUCAAGUUACUGAAGCCACACCCCAACUGAAAUAAAUAUAUUUGGGCUUUAAAUGGUUGUCUUGACUUAACUUGACAGGCAUGCAUUUCUGCAUCGACC
ensembl:lncRNA